GCUUACGGCCAUACCACCCUCAGCACGCCCGAUCUCAUCUGAUCUCGGAAGCUAAUUAGUGUCGGGCCUGGUUAGAACUUGGAUGGGGGAUCGCCUGGAAAUACCAGGUUCUGUAAGCU
rnacentral:rRNA from 1 species